GACGAACCGAGCGAACGUUGUUCGGAAUCACUGGGCUUAAAGGGCGCGUAGGCGGGCUGUCAAGUCUGGGGUGAAAUCCCGCGGCUCAACCGUGGAACUGCCUCAGAUACUGACGGUCUCGAGGGAGGUAGGGGCGAGCGGAACUGAUGGUGGAGCGGUGAAAUUCGUAGAUAUUGGGAAGAACACCGAUGGCGAAGGCAGCCAUCUGGACCGACACUGACGCUGAGGCGCGAAAGCGUGGGGAGCAAACAGG
rnacentral:rRNA from 1 species